rnacentral:lncRNA from 1 species
GGAAGUGGUCCCGCGGCACCCGUUGUAGCUGAAGGAGUGAGCGUGUCGCCGCAGCCUGCGCAACCGGGUCUGGUGUUGCGGCGGUCGCCUUGGCAAUGCUCAGCUUUCCUUUUGGAAAUCUGCCCUCCUCAUUCCUGUUGAAUGUUAGUGAACAACUGAAUGUCUCUUCUCUGUCACUGCUUCCCAUCUACAAUGAAUAUCUGGCACCAAUUCU